GACGAACGCUGGCGGCGUGCUUAACACAUGCAAGUCGAACGGAAAGGCCCUGCUUUUGUGGGGUGCUCGAGUGGCGAACGGGUGAGUAACACGUGAGUAACCUGCCCUUGUCUUUGGGAUAACUUCAGGAAACUGGGGCUCAUACCGGAUAGGAGCUCCUGCUGCAUGGUGGGGGUUGGAAAGUUUCGGCGGUUGGGGAUGGACUCGCGGCUUAUCAGCUUGUUGGUCGGGUAGGUGCUUACCAAGGCUUCGACGGGUAGCCGGCCUGAGCGGGUGACCGGCCACAUUGGGACUGAGAUACGGCCCAGACUCCUACGGGAGGCAGCAGUGGAGAAUAUUGCACAAUGGGCGGAAGCCUGAUGCAGCAACGUCGCGUGCGGGAUGACGGCCUUCGGGUUGUAAACCGCUUUCGCCUGUGACGAAGCGUGAGUGACGGUAAUGAGUAAGGAAGCACCGGCUAACUACGUG
rnacentral:rRNA from 1 species